rnacentral:tRNA from 1 species
GUCCAGAUGAGCAUCGGUGGUCCGAGGUGCAGGCUUCAAACCUGUAGCUGCUUAGCGGCAGAGUGGUUCAAUUCCACCUUUCGGGC